AGGUUGUAGAAAGGUGUUCACAGAAGUUGGAGGCUACGACCAGAAGUGCCACAAGCUCUGAGGUUCACAGUGCUCCAAGAGAAGUUGGUAUGGCUGUCCCCUGGUCAUCUCCAGAAUAUCACUUGCCAGUAUCUGAUUUCUACCUCUGUGUUGGGAGGAUGAAGGUCAAAGCCAUUGAGUGCAAAGGGCUGAAGAGCAAACAUCUUUCUCACAAGCUUUUUCCGUACCCAUUCCACAGCUGAAUCUCUUGGGCAGAGCAAGAACAUGUACCUGUGCCCCUUAUAACAUGGCCUUGGGCAGUAGAAAGGUUUAUACAUCCCAUAUGGAACUUUAUGACUUCAGAUCUGCUUCCCAGCUUUGCCUGAAGUUGUAUCUGUAGAAUAGCUGUAGAGCUUAUUCCUCCAUGUGUGUCAGUCAGAAGACUCUCUGGUACUGAGGAAUUCCCAGCUGAGAUGUGAUUAGCAGAUAUUUUGCAAAAUGCAGACUUAACUCGUCAAUACAGUAGUGGAUGGUGACAAAUGUCUUAAUAUUUCAAGAUCCUUUUUAUAAAACAGUGGAUGUAACUUUUUAGAGGAGAUACUGUACUCUGUUAAGAAGCCACCA